UACAGAGGUGGCAAGCGUUGUUCGGAAUUACUGGGCGUAAAGGGCGCGUAGGCGGCCCUCUCAGUCAGACGUGAAAUCCCCAGGCUUAACUUGGGAACUGCGUCUGAUACUGGAGGGCUUGAGUGCGGGAGAGGGAUGUGGAAUUCCAGGUGUAGCGGUGAAAUGCGUAGAUAUCUGGAGGAACACCGGUGGCGAAGGCGGCGUUCUGGACUGUUUCUGACACUGAGGAACGAAAGCCAGGGGAGCAAACGGG
rnacentral:rRNA from 1 species